rnacentral:ncRNA from 1 species
GGGGGAGUAUGAUCGCAAGAUUGAAACUUAAAGGAAUUGACGGAAGGGCACCACCAGGAGUGGAGCCUGCGGCUUAAUUUGACUCAACACGGGGAAACUCACCAGGUCCAGACAUGGGAAGGAUUGACAGAUUGACAGCUCUUUCUUGAUUCCAAGGGAGGUGGUGCAUGGCCGUCCAGCUUUUGUUGUGAAAUCUCUGUUUGAUUACGGUAAACGGCGAGACCUUGACUUGCUGAUUGGUGUGCGCCUGCGUUAGCAGGCGUUGGAGAUUACGCGCAAGCGUGUCUUUUGAUACACCACUCAGAGGGACACUCGGCGUUGCUAUUGAGCGUAAGCCGAAGGAAGUUUGAGGCGAUAACAGGUCUGUGAUGCCCUUAGAUGUUCUGGGCUGCACGCGCGCUACACUGACGGGGGCAGCGAGUAUGCUUUGGGUGUUUGUGGUGGGGAAAGUCUUGUGCUUUUCUACGACAGACAUCUAUUCCUGCGCUGGAAGGCGUGGGGACUCUUGUGAAAACCCGUCGUGCUGGGGAUAGAUGCUUGCAAUUAUUCAUCUUGAACGAGGAAUUCCUAGUAAGCGCAAUUCAACAGAUUGCGUUGAUUACGUCCCUGCCCUUUGUACACACCGCCCGUCGCUACUACCGAUUGAAUGGUUUAGUGAGGCCUCGGGAUUGGCGCGUGGGCGCUGGCAACAGCUGCCCAUGUCAUCUUUUGCUGAGAACCUGGUCAAACUUGAUCAUUUAGAGGAAGUAAAAGUCGUAACAAGGUUUCCGUAGGUGAACCUGCGGAAG